rnacentral:rRNA from 1 species
GACAGAGGUCUCGAGCGUUAGGCGGAAUCACUGGGCUUAAAGCGUGUGUAGGCGGACUUGUAAGUACCUUGUGAAAUCCCACGGCUCAACCGUGGAACUGCUUGGUAUACUGCUUGUCUUGGGCCACUUAGGGGUUACCGGAACAAACGGUGGAGCGGUGAAAUGCGCAGAUAUCGGGAGGAACACCGGUGGCGAAGGCGGUUCUCUGGGCCUGUACUGACGCUGAGGAGCGAAAGCGUGGGGAGCGAACAGG